AAAAGAUGACUUUUGUGCUUGUGUAUGCAAACAGUACACAAAAGGUUAGCAUGGUCCCUGUACAAGGAUGACAAGCAAAUUCAUGAAGUGUUCCAUAUUUUU